rnacentral:rRNA from 1 species
UUGAACGCUGGCGGCAUGCUUUACACAUGCAAGUCGAACGGCAGCACGGGGGCAACCCUGGUGGCGAGUGGCGAACGGGUGAGUAAUAUAUCGGAACAUAUCCGGGAGUGGGGGAUAACGUAGCGAAAGUUACGCUAAUACCGCAUAUGCCCUGAGGGGGAAAGUGGGGGAUCGCAAGACCUCACGCUUUCGGAGUGGCCGAUAUCGGAUUAGCUAGUUGGUGGGGUAAAGGCCCACCAAGGCGACGAUCCGUAGCUGGUCUGAGAGGACGACCAGCCACACUGGGACUGAGACACGGCCCAGACUCCUACGGGAGGCAGCAGUGGGGAAUUUUGGACAAUGGGGGCAACCCUGAUCCAGCCAUGCCGCGUGAGUGAAGAAGGCCUUCGGGUUGUAAAACUCUUUCGGCAGGAACGAAACGGUGAGCUCUAACAUAGCUUGCUAAUGACGGUACCUGAAGAAGAAGCACCGGCUAACUACGU